CCGCCGCUGAAUGUAUAGGUGGUGUGGGGGGAACGAGGGGAAGUGAAACAUCUCAGUACCCUUAGGAAGAGAAAACAAUAGUGAUUGCGUGAGUAGUGGCGAGCGAAAGCGUAGGAGGCUAAACCAUGCUGGUGUGAGACUCGGUAGGGGUUGCUGGUGUGGGGUUGUGGGGUGCAUUUACACAAUAUCUACCGGUGUUGUGGCGUCGUGGUGUGUGGUAGGUGAAGCCUUGUGAGUGGGGCGCCAUAGUGGGUGUGAGUCCCGUAGCUGAAACUGCAUGGCCAGGCGUGGUGUUGCCCCGAGUAGGGCCGGGCUCGUGGAAUCCGGUGUGAAUCUGCCAGGACCACCUGGUAAGCCUAAAUACUUCCUUGUGACCGAUAGCGGACUAGUACCGUGAGGGAAAGGUGAAAAGAACCCCGGGAGGGGAGUGAAAGAGUACCUGAAACCGUGUGCUUACAAUCCGUCGGAGCCUUGAGGGGUGACGGCGUGCCUAUUGAAAAAUGAGCCUGCGAGUUAGUGGUCGGUGGCGAGGUUAACCUGUGUGGGGUAGCCGUAGCGAAAGCGAGUCUGAAUGGGGCGUUCAGUCGCCGGCUCUAGACCCGAAGCGAAGUGAUCUAUCCAUGGGCAGUGUGAAGCGCGGGUAAGACCGUGUGGAGGCGCGAACCCACUUCAGUUGAAAAUGGAGGGGAUGACCUGUGGAUAGGGGUGAAAGGCCAAUCAAACUUCGUGAUAGCUGGUUCUCCCCGAAAUGCAUUUAGGUGCAGCGUUGCGUGUUUCGUGCUGGAGGUAGAGCACUGGAUAGGCGAUGGGCCCCACCGGGUUACUGACCUUAGCCAAACUCCGAAUGCCGGUACGUGAGAGCGUAGCAGUGAGACUGUGGGGGAUAAGCUUCAUGGUCGAGAGGGAAACAGCCCAGAACAUCAGCUAAGGCCCCUAAGCGUGUGCUAAGUGGGAAAGGAUGUGGAGUUGCUGAGACAACCAGGAGGUUGGCUUAGAAGCAGCCACCCUUGAAAGAGUGCGUAAUAGCUCACUGGUCAAGUGAUUCUGCGCCGAUAAUGUAGCGGGGCUCAAGUACACCGCCGAAGCUGUGUCACUCCAUUUUGUGUGGGGUGGGUAGGGGAGCGUCGUGUGGCCGGUGAAGCUGCGGGGGAACCCAGUGGUGGAGGCUAUGCGAGUGAGAAUGCAGGCAUGAGUAGCGAAAGACGGGUGAGAAACCCGUCCUCCGAAUGAUCAAGGGUUCCGGGGCUAGGUUAAUCCGCCCCGGGUUAGUCGGGACCUAAGGCGAGGCCGACAGGCGUAGUCGAUGGAUAACGGGUUGAUAUUCCCGUACCGAUAGUGUGAGGACCCAUACCGAGGCGUGUGAUGCUAACCACCCGAGCUGCUGCUUCCUUCCCUUUGGGUUGGUUGUUGGUGGUGAGGCUGGGAACCAAGCGCGUAGUAGGUCAGCGUGUGGGAUGACGCAGUGAGGUAGCUUCCGCGGGGUAAUGGUUGUCCCCGUUCAAGCGAGCAGCCCGAGUGCGAGUAAUGUUGUGCUCUUGUGGGUGAGUCGUGAUGAGGACCCUUUAUUGGGGUAGGUGGGUGAUCCUGGACUGCCGAGAAAAGUUCCGGCGUGACGAGCACUAUUGCCCGUACCCUAAACCGACUCAGGUGAUCAGGUAGAGAAUACUAAGGAGUUCGAGAGAAUCGUGGUUAAGGAACUCGGCAAAAUGACCCCGUAACUUCGGGAGAAGGGGGGCCUGAGGUGUGAGAGCACUGAUGGCCGCAGAGACCAGGGAGAAGCGACUGUUUACUAAAAACACAGGUCCGUGCGAAGACGUAAGUCGCUGUAUACGGACUGACGCCUGCCCGGUGCUGGAAGGUUAAGAGGACUGGUUAGCCCCUUUUUGGGGGCGAAGCUGAGAAUUUAAGCCCCAGUAAACGGCGGUGGUAACUAUAACCAUCCUAAGGUAGCGAAAUUCCUUGUCGGGUAAGUUCCGACCUGCACGAAUGGCGUA
rnacentral:rRNA from 1 species